GACGAACGCUGGCGGCGUGCUUAACACAUGCAAGUCGAACGGAAAGGCCCUGCUUUUGUGGGGUGCUCGAGUGGCGAACGGGUGAGUAACACGUGAGUAACCUGCCCUUGACUUUGGGAUAACUUCAGGAAACUGGGGCUAAUACCGGAUAGGAGCUCCGGCUGCAUGGUGGGGGUUGGAAAGUUUCGGCGGUUGGGGAUGGACUCGCGGCUUAUCAGCUUGUUGGUGGGGUAGUGGCUUACCAAGGCGUUGACGGGUAGCCGGCCUGAGAGGGUGACCGGCCACAUUGGGACUGAGAUACGGCCCAGACUCCUACGGGAGGCAGCAGUGGGGAAUAUUGCACAAUGGGCGGAAGCCUGAUGCAGCAACGCCGCGUGCGGGAUGACGGCCUUCGGGUUGUAAACCGCUUUCGCCUGUGACGAAGCGUGAGUGACGGUAAUGGGUAAAGAAGCACCGGCUAACUACGUG
rnacentral:rRNA from 1 species